rnacentral:rRNA from 1 species
AGUCAUAUGCUUGUCUCAAAGAUUAAGCCAUGCAUGUCUCAGUACAAGCCAAAUUAAGGUGAAACCGCGAAAGGCUCAUUAAAUCAGUUAUGGUUCCUUAGAUCGUACCCACACUUACUUGGAUAACUGUGGUAAUUCUAGAGUUAAUACAUGCAAAUAGAGCUCCUACCGGAGACGGAAGGAGCGCUUUUAUUAGAUCAAAACCAAUCGGUGACGCUCGUCGUUACCGUACUCCUUGGUGACUCUGAAUAACUUGUUGCUGAUCGCACGGUCUAGUACCGGCGACGCAUCUUUCAAAUGUCUGCCUUAUCAACUGUCGAUGGUAGGUUCUGCGCCUACCAUGGUUGUAACGGGUAACGGGGAAUCAGGGUUCGAUUCCGGAGAGGGAGCCUGAGAAACGGCUACCACAUCCAAGGAAGGCAGCAGGCGCGCAAAUUACCCACUCCCGGCACGGGGAGGUAGUGACGAAAAAUAACGAUACGGGACUCAUCCGAGGCCCCGUAAUCGGAAUGAGUACACUCUAAACCCUUUAACGAGGAUCAAUUGGAGGGCCAGUCUGGUGCCAGCAGCCGCGGUAAUUCCAGCUCCAAUAGCGUAU